UACAGAGGGGGCAAGCGUUGUUCGGAAUUACUGGGCGUAAAGGGCGCGUAGGCGGCCUGUUAAGUCGAACGUGAAAUCCCCAGGCUCAACCCGGGAACUGCGUCCGAUACUGGCAGGCUUGAAUUCGGGAGAGGGAUGCGGAAUUCCAGGUGUAGCGGUGAAAUGCGUAGAUAUCUGGAGGAACACCUGCGGCGAAGGCGGGUUGCGUGGGCUGAUACUGACGCUGAGGCGCGAAAGCCAGGGGAGCGAACGGG
rnacentral:rRNA from 1 species